CCCAGCAGUUCCUGCCCAGCCCUCACCUACCUGCUGGCCCAGCCCUGCCGUGCAGUCUACAUCUUCACCAAAAAGAACGGCAUCCCCUUCGAGCUUCGCACCCUGGAGCUGACCACAGGUUGGCAGGGCAGGUGGCCUAGGGGAUAUGAGCUGUUCACUUACAUCAGGUUCUGUAAGGAGAAAACCAACAAGGUCUUCUCUGAGGGAUCUCCCGAGGCCACCCGGACACAGGGAGCCAUUCGGCGGCGCCCUAGGAGGCCCUGGGUACACUGGCGGAUGGUCAACGCCUCCUUACUGCGCAGCGAACGCCCGUUUCCGGUGGCCGGAAGCCCCCCCCGGUGGGCGGGGCCAGCGAGGCCAGGACUGGAGGCCAAAACCAUGGCCCGUAGGCACAGCUCCUGCCACUGCCCACUCAUUCCCAGCUCAGCCAUCCUGAUUUACCUGAGCUGUAAGUACCAGACAGCGGACCACCGGUAUCCGUCUGACCUGCAGGCUCGUGCCCGGGUUCAUGAGUAUCUGGGCUGGCACGCCACUGCGUCCGUGGCACCUUUGGUGUACUCCUGUGGACCUGGGUGCUGGGGCCAUUCACUGGGGUCCAGGUGCCCAAGGAGAAGGUGGAACACAAGAGGACUGCCAUGGAUUACACACUGCAGUGGCUAGAGGACAAGUUCCUGGGGGACAGGGCCUUCCUUGCUGGCCAGCAGCCGGUGGCUGUCGGCUAUGAACUGUUUGAGGGACAGCCAUGACUGGCAGCAUGGCGUGGAUGAGUGGAGGCUUUCCUGGGUGCUGAACUGUGCCAGGAGGCCCACAGCCUCAUCUUGAGCAUCCUGGAAAAGGAGGCCAAAAAAACCCUCCCAACACCCCCAGCAGAGGCCUAUCCGACUAUGCUGCUUCAAACUGCCAGGAUUCCCUGAAGGGUCUGGGAUAGGGGCCAGAUCAGCACUGGGGAUUAAUUCUGUUUCUUACUUGCCUCUUUUUAUCUUUUCUUCUUGCAUCAGUUCCUUGUCUCCAGCUUCCGGUGAAGCUCUGCACAGUCAGGACACUCAGUGUCCUUGGCAGUGCUGCUACUCCUCAAAUGCAGCAUACAUAACCAAUAGGAGACUAAAUCUGCAAUAUAUAAAGAGCUCCUACAAAUCAACAACAUGAAGAAAGCAAUCAAAAAUUGGCAAAUGUCAUCAGUGUUUUAAAUAAAAUAAAGAUUCCAAACACUUUGAAUAGGG